rnacentral:rRNA from 1 species
AAGACCCCGUGAACCUUUACUAUAGCUUGACACUGAACAUUGAGCCUUGAUGUGUAGGAUAGGUGGGAGGCUUUGAAGCGUGGACGCCAGUCUGCGUGGAGCCGACCUUGAAAUACCACCCUUUAAUGUUUGAUGUUCUAACGUGGACCCGUAAUCCGGGUUGCGGACAGUGUCUGGUGGGUAGUUUGACUGGGGCGGUCUCCUCCUAAAGAGUAACGGAGGAGCACGAAGGUUGGCUAAUCCUGGUCGGACAUCAGGAGGUUAGUGCAAUGGCAUAAGCCAGCUUGACUGCGAGCGUGACGGCGCGAGCAGGUGCGAAAGCAGGUCAUAGUGAUCCGGUGGUUCUGAAUGGAAGGGCCAUCGCUCAACGGAUAAAAGGUACUCCGGGGAUAACAGGCUGAUACCGCCCAAGAGUUCAUAUCGACGGCGGUGUUUGGCACCUCGAUGUCGGCUCAUCACAUCCUGGGGCUGAAGUAGGUCCCAAGGGUAUGGCUGUUCGCCAUUUAAAGUGGUACGCGAGCUGGGUUUAGAACGUCGUGAGACAGUUCGGUCCCUAUCUGCCGUGGGCGCUGGAGAACUGAGGGGGGCUGCUCCUAGUACGAGAGGACCGGAGUGGACGCAUCACUGGUGUUCGGGUUGUCAUGCCAAUGGCACUGCCCGGUAGCUAAAUGCGGAAGAGAUAAGUGCUGAAAGCAUCUAAGCACGAAACUUGCCCCGAGAUGAGUUCUCCCUGAGACUUUAGGUCUCCUGAAGGAACGUUGAAGACGACGACGUUGAUAGGCCGGGUGUGUAAGCGUAGCGAUGCGUUGAGCUAACCGGUACUAAUGAACCGUGAGGCUUAACCUUACAACGCCGAAG